rnacentral:lncRNA from 10 species
AGGGAUUCUCCAUGUUGGUCAGGCUGGUCUCAAACUCCUGACCUCAGGUGAUCUUCCCACGUCGGCCUCCCCAAGUGCUGGGAUUACAGGCGUGGCCCAGCGUACCUGGUCUCCAAGCACUUUUUAUUUAAUUUCUACAUCACUUUUUUAAUGUUUGGUUUUGGUGGUUCACCUGCAUAAACGUGUGACACUCCAUCACGAAACUCCCUUUGGUUAUCUGCUUAAACUUAUCGCAAAUGUCGCAAGAUGUGUGGAAAUUCCCACCACGUGAUGUCAAAUGAAAAAGAUGGGAUGCGGGACUACAUACAAAGCACUCCAAGUGUUUCUAAUUGAAAUGGGGGAACUGUGGGAUAUGUGGAUUAUACCUCAACAAAGAUUUCUCUUCAGUGUCUGUGCUUUUAUGUAUGUGUGUAUGUAUGUAUGUUUGUAUAUAUUUAUUUGAGACAGGGUCUUGUCCUGUUGCCCAGGCCUGAGUGCAGUGGUGUGAUCUCGGCUUUCUGCAACCUCUGUCCCCUGGGUAACUCCACUGGUUUCUGCUCCCACUGGCCCUACCUCUGUUAGAGGUGUUCGCCAGGCACCCCAUGCGGUCACCAGCAGACAGCCGCUUUCUGCACAAGUUCCAAGAUGGACUCACAGCAGUCCCCGCCAGCCAUGACGCUGAGAUGGGUGUACACCCAGCUCUGGAGGAACCCAACCGCCUGUGGUCUCUCCACAACGGCUGCAAAAUACUGUAAGUCUGUUUCCGACCUCUGGCCCCAGGCCUUAUCUUUGCUUACAAAAAACUAGAUUUGGGCCAACAUUAGUUCAAUGCCUCAGAGCACAUUAUUUCUCAUUGUGUGUUUUCUUACAAAAGAGCCUUUUUUUUUUUCUGGAAUUCUAAACAUUCCAAAAAAUGGAAUCAGUCAAGGGGAAGUUAGUAUUUUUGCUAUUUCAGACUAGAGUGACCAGCUGUGUUCAUUUAUAUGUAAUAUUUUUAUUGAGUUUUCUAUAUUUAUAUAUAUAUUUAUAUAUAUUUAUAUAUUUUUAUAUUUUUAUAUAUAUUUAUAUAUAUUUAUAUAUAUUUUAUAUAUAUUUUAUAUAUAUUUUU